ACGCUGGCGGCGUGCUUAACACAUGCAAGUCGAACGAUGAAGCUGGUGCUUGCACUGGUGGAUUAGUGGCGAACGGGUGAGUAUCACGUGAGUAACCUUCCCUUGACUCUGGGAUAAGCCCGGGAAACUGGGUCUAAUACCGGAUAUGACCGGCCUCCGCAUGGGGUGCUGGUGGAAAGCUUUUGCGGUUUUGGAUGGACUCGCGGCCUAUCAGUUUGUUGGUGAGGUAAUGGCUCACCAAGGCGAUGACGGGUAGCCGGCCUGAGAGGGUGACCGGCCACACUGGGACUGAGACACGGCCCAGACUCCUACGGGAGGCAGCAGUGGGGAAUAUUGCACAAUGGGCGCAAGCCUGAUGCAGCGACGCCGCGUGCGGGAUGACGGCCUUCGGGUUGUAAACCGCUUUCAGCAAGGAAGAAGCUUUUUGUGACGGUACUUGCAGAAGAAGCGCCGGCUAACUACGUGCCAGCACCCGCGGUAAUACGUAGGGCGCGAGCGUUAUCCGGAAUUAUUGGGCGUAAAGAGCUCGUAGGCGGUUUGCCACGUCUGCUGUGAAAGCCCGGGGCUCAACCUCGGGUGUACAGUGGGUACGGGUAGGCUGGAGUGCAGUAGGGGAGACUGGAAUUCCUGGUGUAGCGGUGAAAUGCGCAGAUAUCAGGAGGAACACCGAUGGCGAAGGCAGGUCUCUGGGCUGUUACUGACGCUGAGGAGCGCAAGCAUGGUGAGCGAACAGGAUUAGAUACCCUGGUAGUCCAUGCCGUAAACGUUGGGCACUAGGUGUGGGGGACAUUCCACGUUUUCCGCGCCGUAGCUAACGCAUUAAGUGCCCCGCCUGGGGAGUACGGCCGCAAGGCUAAAACUCAAAGGAAUUGACGGGGGCCCGCACAAGCGGCGGAGCAUGCGGAUUAAUUCGAUGCAACGCGAAGAACCUUACCAAGGCUUGACAUGGACCGGAUCGCUGCAGAGAUGCAGUUUCCCUUCGGGGCUGGUUCACAGGUGGUGCAUGGUUGUCGUCAGCUCGUGUCGUGAGAUGUUGGGUUAAGUCCCGCAACGAGCGCAACCCUUGUCUUAUGUUGCCAGCACGUAGUGGUGGGGACUCAUGGGAGACUGCCGGGGUCAACUCGGAGGAAGGUGGGGACGACGUCAAAUCAUCAUGCCCCUUAUGUCUUGGGCUUCACGCAUGCUACAAUGGCCGGUACAAUGGGUUGCGAUACUGUUAGGUGGAGCUAAUCCCUAAAAGCCGGUCUCAAUUCGGAUCGAAGUCUGUCAACUCGACUUCGUGAAGUUGGAGUCGCUAGUAAUCGCAGAUCAGCAAUGCCGCGGUGAAUACGUUCCCGGGCCUUGUACACACCGCCCGUCAAGUCACGAAAGUUGGUAACACCCGAAGCUCAUGGCCUAACCAGUUUUCUGGAGGGAAUGGUCGAAGGUGGGACUGGCGAUUGGGACUAAGUCGUAACAAGGUAUCCGU
rnacentral:rRNA from 1 species